CGCUCCCCACCCCGGAGGCUCGGGCCGCGGCCACGGGCCCGAAGCCGGGGGCUCGGGUUUGAGAGCGACCCCGGCCCGCGGCGUCCCCUCGUCCGCCGCCGGGUGGCGUCUGCCCUUGAGAGCCUCUCUCUGCCCGCGGCUCUGGGACGGGCCCCCCAGGCCGGCACCGCGCGGCCGCCUCCUGCCCGCCGCCCGCGCGCCGCCGGACCCGACCCAGGGCAUCUGGGCGCUGAGGAUGCUCUCGUCUCUGCGGCGUCCCCCUGCGAAGUCUGGGGCCUGAGACGUACGGCGUCUGGGGGAGCUUCUGUACCGCGGUGACUGUUGAUAAAAAUGUAAACUGCUGUGUUGAGGCGUAUUGCCCAAAGUGACCUAAAUGGUGGUAGAAGUCAUUGCGAAGGAAGAAAAGCUCACACCAGAUUUUUGCUCUCCAGAUUUCUGUACCGUCCCAUUUCUUUGCACAGUUUUCUUUUUUUUACCUUUGGGGAAUUUAACUCUUUAAAGACUUUUUUCAAGUUCCGUUGAUCUCGUAUACAUCGUGUAUUUUUUUUUAACUUAUCUUAGUUUUUCUGCUUCUUAAAACCAGAUCUCCCCAACAUUUACUCUAAGUACUAUCAAAAAAAAAAAAGGGGGGGGGACUUAUUUCUCCUACAAAGUAUGGAUUAAAUAGGAAAUGCAAAAAACUUUAGCGGAAUCCAUGCUGAUUAGAAAUCUGGCAGUGAGAAUCAUGGGAAGGGAGAGAGCCUGUCCUAGGAACUACAUCAGAAAACUGAAGGAGACGAGCAGUGAAAACUCUGUACGACAUAUUUUUUCUCUUCUGAAAUAUCUAAGACAUUUUAGUUACAAAUUCAGAAGAAUGCAUGCUUAAUGGCCUAGGAUUUGUGGGCGGUAAGGAAAAUGGACUUGAAAAUGGUAAAGGCAAAACAACAUGGGAAGAGAGCUGAAACUCGAGAUGACUGUGGAGACAUUAUCAACUCUGCAGGCAACCCUUCCAUGGAAAUUCAAACAGCUUUAAGAGGACCCAGGAGGGCAGAACUGCUCUUGAAAUGCUGAAAUGGGGAAAACAGCUUGAGAAUGUUAUGGGGCAAGACAGACUGACGCAAAAGAUAUUUUCCUCUCCACUCACUUGGUGCCAACCCAAGGCACAGUCGGGAAAACAGUGCACAGGGUGCUGUGAAGCGAUACCACAUGGCACAGGUGAGCUAAGAACAGAGAACGCAGAAGUGAGUCAGACACAAGUCACACCCUUGCGAAUUCAUCCUCAAGACAAACUGCCACUGGCAAUAAAGGGAAAAUUUCUGUUACUGUUUCAUAGUAAACUAAUUUAUGCUGUGAAUAUCUGCAUUCAGUGCAGAGCACAUACGAUGUUCUUAGUAUAAAAGUAGACGAGAAGUGGAAUUUAGUUCUCAAACCCAAGCUGUCUCUUAAGUUACUGAUUUCUGUUGCAAGCCAAAGGUAAGAAACUUACUGUCCGGGAAACAUUAACAGUUUAGGGUACAUACUGAAGAAAAGAGAGGGCUCUGCUAGUCAGGCCUUUAUUUAAAAGCAUGAUAAAAAGUUACGAGGGAGAGUAUAGUUUUUGUGUAUGUGACAAUUUUUCUAUAUUACAGUUUUCUAACAAAAAUGAUAUCUUUGGGGAAUUCCCUGGUGGUCCAGUGGUUAGGACUCCAUGCUUUCGUUUCAGGGGAUGCAGGUUUGAUCCCUGGUUGGGGAACUAAGGUCACACAAGCCCACACGGCAUGGCUGAAAAAAAAAAAAAUGUCUUCCAUUGCAAAAAUAGAUGAGGGCUUCACACUGAAGAAAGCCUAUAUCCUGGGUCUUUGAUUGUCAAUCCUAUUAACAAAUGCCUUGAAGCCACCUCAAGUUCCCAGUUCUUAGUUCUUCUUUUCCAUGACUAUAAAGAUGGAGAUGAUAAA